CAGUGCCGAUGUUUACUCUGUUUCGGCUCCUUUUCUUAUCGGGUUCACACCGCAAGCUGCAGCAGAGUGGAAGCAGUGCGUUAGCAGCAGGAAGGCAGAGCGGAAGCAGCGCGCGGCUAUUUUGCUUUCACGCCGGCAGCGGAGGCAGCGCGCAACUGAACAGCGGAUUUUGGACAGAGUACUGUCAAUUGGUUCCAAUUGAAUCAAUUUUGUUUUUUCUUGAAAAGAACAAUAAUUCUACAAUUUCACACAUUGGUUUUAUGUAGCCAACACAUGUUUUCUGCUGAACAUUCCAAUGUAUUAGAGGAAAGUGGCAGGCUUUUGAGGUUGCGGUGAACCUAGAAUUGUAAGUACUUUGACAUAUAUUAACAUAUAAUAAUAAUAAUAAUAAUAAUAAUAAUCCGAAUUAUAUUUAUUAUAUUAGCUCUUACCUCCAUAAAAAACUCUUUUAUAUGUUGAUACACAGAAUAUCUGACACAUCAAAUACAUACAUUACCCAUCAUAAAAAGCUUAUAGAUAAUUCAUAAACAGAGAACAUGGGGAAUGGAACACAUGAGGGGAAAACGCAACAUAAUGAGUCCAGGGGUGUGACACUCUGCUUUGUGUUGGAACCUUUAGUUUGAUUAACACCUUUAUCAACAACAGACACAAUGGAGAAAAUCAUUUUCUUCUUCUGUGUAUUUUCUUGUUGGAUUAUGCAAACCACAUCCAGUGGUAAAUUUAUUCUAUUUCAAACUAUUUAAAAUUAGCAAAUCAACCUCAAAUACAAUUGCUAUUAACAUAGUAUAAAAUGAUGUUAUAAAUGUCUCUCCAGAUCUGUUAAGGGUUCAGAUGGGAGAAAACACCAGUCUGAACUGCAGCAUGAGAAACCAAUAUGAAUCACCUCAGAUCUGGAGAACAACUUGAUCUACUGAUUUCUGCAAAGAAAGAUGAAUCAGGAAGAAAACUCCCGACUAACUACAAUCCAAACAGCCCUCUAAUGAAAAUGACUGCAGAUAGUUGGGUCACCAGAGCCACGCUGGUUAUUUCUGGAGUAACAGAGUCAGAUGUGGGUCUUUAUUUCUGUGCAACAAAGUCUGACGCUCAAGAGAUGUUCUUCGACAAACCCAUCAGACUAGAGAUCCAGGGUCUUAUUGUAGUACAAGAGACAGAUGAAGAAGCUGACAACACAGAUUUGAUUGGUGGCUGGCAACCGAUUUUAAAGGUGCAUUAUCGCCACACACCGGACUGA
ensembl:lncRNA